UACGUAGGGCGCAAGCGUUGUCCGGAAUUAUUGGGCGUAAAGAGCUCGUAGGCGGCUUGUCACGUCGGGUGUGAAAGCCCGGGGCUUAACCCCGGGUCUGCAUUCGAUACGGGCUAGCUAGAGUGUGGUAGGGGAGAUCGGAAUUCUUGGUGUAGCGGUGAAAUGCGUAGAUAUCAGGAGGAACACCGGUGGUGUAGACGGCUUACUGGACCACGACUGACACUGAGGCACGAAAGCGUGGGUAGCAAACAGG
rnacentral:rRNA from 1 species